rnacentral:rRNA from 1 species
UACGUAGGGUCCGAGCGUUGUCCGGAAUUAUUGGGCGUAAAGGGCUCGUAGGCGGUUUGUUGCGUCGGGAGUGAAAACUCAGGGCUUAACUCUGAGCUUGCUUCCGAUACGGGCAGACUUGAGGUAUUCAGGGGAGAACGGAAUUCCUGGUGUAGCGGUGAAAUGCGCAGAUAUCAGGAGGAACACCGGUGGCGAAGGCGGUUCUCUGGGAAUUACCUGACGCUGAGGAGCGAAAGUGUGGGGAGCGAACAGG